rnacentral:rRNA from 1 species
AGUCACUGACAUUAGAUACCCCCGUAGUCCAGGGUGUAAACGCUGCAGACUUGGUGUUGGGAACCCUUCGGGGGUGCUCAGUGCCGGAGAGAAGUUGUUAAGUCUGCUACUUGGGGAGUACGUCCGCAAGGAUGAAACUUAAAGGAAUUGGCGGGGGAGCACCGCAACGGGAGGAGCGUGCGGUUUAAUUGGAUUCAACGCUGAAAAACUCACCAGCAGCGACUGUUACAUGAAAGUCAGGUUGAUGACCUUACUAGAUUUUUCAG